ACUCAUGCUUGCAAUUCCUCUCCCAAAUAAUCCCAGUCAGGAACUGCAAUCCCCAUUCAGUUGAAUGAGAUUUGCAAUUUUGCAGAAGAGAAAUUGGCGAUGUCCUCACUAGCUUGAAUCUUUAUGUAUGAGAGAGAAUGGAAUGGAAUGAAGAAGAAUGCAGGAACAGUAGUUAUCAGCUGCCUGUUAUUUAUGAACAUUUUCAGAAUGUAGAACUGAUAUGCUCCAUCCACAAGAAAAGGACUAUUUUAACCUUUUUCGUUCGUGUGCAGAGACUUCAAAACUUUUGUGGGCUUGAUUUACAAUUGGAAUCUCAGCAUUGCAUAAUCGUAUUACCAGAGAGAGAGGUUUUCAAUCAAUAACAUAGUUAAUCUUAUUGCAAUGAUGCAAAAGGUUGUCACUGCUGGAACUUUACCUGGGACUGGGGUCUUCUAAACUAGUUGCUGUGAACACAGAUUGUUUUGGAGAGAAUGCAAUGUACUGUAUAUAAGAUUUAAGAGUUUCACUUUUGAGCAUGUAAUUUUUUUAUUGAAAGUAUAAUUAAACUUGA